rnacentral:rRNA from 1 species
AUACGGAGGAUGCGAGCGUUAUCCGGAUUUAUUGGGUUUAAAGGGUGCGCAGGCGGCCAUUUAAGUCAGCGGUUAAAUCGUGGGGCUCAACCCCAUUCUGCCGUUGAUACUGGGUGGCUUGAUUGCGGUCGAGGUUGGCGGAAUUCGUUGUGUAGCGGUGAAAUGCAUAGAUAUGACGAAGAACACCGAUUGCGUAGGCAGCUGCCCGGACCGCAAAUGACCUUAAUGCACGAAGUGCGGGGAUCGAACAGGAUUAGAUACCCUGGUAGUCCGCACAGUAAACGAUGAAUACUUGUUUUCGGCGAUAUAAUGUCGGAGGCAAAGCGAAAGCGAUAAGUAUUCCACCUGGGGAGUACGCCGGCAACGGUGAAACUUAAAGGAAUUGACGGGG